rnacentral:rRNA from 1 species
UACGUAGGGUGCAAGCGUUGUCCGGAAUUAUUGGGCGUAAAGAGCUCGUAGGCGGUCUGUCGCGUCGGCUGUGAAAACUCGGGGCUCAACCCCGAGCCUGCAGUCGAUACGGGCAGACUAGAGUGCUGUAGGGGAGACUGGAAUUCCUGGUGUAGCGGUGAAAUGCGCAGAUAUCAGGAGGAACACCGGUGGCGAAGGCGGGUCUCUGGGCCGAGUACUGACGCUGAGACGACGAAGCGUGGGGAGCAACAGG